UACGAAGGGGGUUAGCGUUGCUCGGAAUGACUGGGCGUAAAGGGCGCGUAGGCGGUUUGUACAGUCAGGUGUGAAAUUCCCGGGCUCAACCUGGGGGCUGCACUUGAUACGUAUGGACUGGAGUGGGGAAGAGGGUCGUGGAAUUCCCAGUGUAGAGGUGAAAUUCGUAGAGAUCGGGAGGAACACCAGAGGCGAAGGCGGCGACCUGGAUAGGCACUGACACUCAACUACGAAAGCGUGGGGAGCAAACAGG
rnacentral:rRNA from 1 species